GUUUACUGUGGGUUUGUCAUAUACAGCCUUUGUUAUGUUGAGAAGUUUACGAAGACAAAAGAGGAAUGACGACUCAGCAUAUUGUAAUUAUCCAGUUGAUAUUUAUCUUGUUCCAGUCACCUUUAGAAAGCUGUUUGCUCUCAAAUCUCCAGGCAGCCUCUAUUGAUUGAUCUGAGUUGGCAGAUGAGUUGGCAGGCAAGGGCAGUGACUGGAAGCUGGGAGAGAGGGUCAAC
rnacentral:lncRNA from 10 species